AUUGAACGCUGGCGGCAGGCCUAACACAUGCAAGUCGAGCGGAUGAAGGGAGCUUGCUCCUGGAUUCAGCGGCGGACGGGUGAGUAAUGCCUAGGAAUCUGCCUGGUAGUGGGGGAUAACGUCCGGAAACGGGCGCUAAUACCGCAUACGUCCUGAGGGAGAAAGUGGGGGAUCUUCGGACCUCACGCUAUCAGAUGAGCCUAGGUCGGAUUAGCUAGUUGGUGGGGUAAAGGCCUACCAAGGCGACGAUCCGUAACUGGUCUGAGAGGAUGAUCAGUCACACUGGAACUGAGACACGGUACAGACUCCUACGGGAGGCAGCAGUGGGGAAUAUUGGACAAUGGGCGAAAGCCUGAUCCAGCCAUGCCGCGUGUGUGAAGAAGGUCUUCGGAUUGUAAAGCACUUUAAGUUGGGAGGAAGGGCAGUAAGUUAAUACCUUGCUGUUUUGACGGUACCAACAGAAUAAGCACCGGCUAACUUCGUG
rnacentral:rRNA from 1 species